rnacentral:rRNA from 1 species
AACGAACGCUGGCGGCAUGCCUAACACAUGCAAGUCGAACGAACGCUUCGGCAUUAGUGGCGCACGGGUGCGUAACGCGUGGGAAUCUGCCCUUGGGUUCGGAAUAACGUCGGGAAACUGACGAUAAUACCGGAUGAUGACGUAAGUCCAAGGAUUUAUCGCGCAAGGAUGAGCCCGCGUCGGAUUAGCUAGUUGGUGCGGUAAAAGCUCACCAAGGCGACGAUCCGUAGCUGGUCUGAGAGGAUGAUCAGCCACACUGGGACUGAGACACGGCCCAGACUCCUACGGGAGGCAGCAGUGGGGAAUAUUGGACCAUGGGCGAAAGCCUGAUCCAGCAAGGCCGCGUGAGUGAUGAAGGCCUUAGGGUUGUAAAGCUCUUUUACCCGGGAUGAUAAUGACGGUACCGAGAGAAUAAGCCCCGGCUAACUCCGUG